UUAACCAGGUUUUCCGAAGGAAAAAACUGGUUAUUAGAUUGGCGAAUGCGGGCGGGCUGGCUGGCUGGCUGGCUGGCGGGCUGGCUGGCGGGCUGGCGGGCUGGCGGAAUAAGCUUGUCCGGGCCAUAACUAUGUCGUUCAUUGUCAGAUUUUAAAAUCAUUUGGCACAUUUGUUCACCAUCAUUGGACGGUGUGUCGCGCGAAAUAAUUACGUCGAUAUCUCCAAGGUCAAGGUCACACUUUGAGUUCAAAGGUCAAAAAUGGCCAUAAAUGAGCUUGUCCUGGCCAUAACUAUGUCAUUCAUUGUGAGAUUUUAAAAUCAUUUGGCACAUUUGUUCACCAUCAUGGGACGGUGUGUCCCACGAAAGAAUCACGUCAAUAUCUCCAAUGUCAAGGUCGCCACGACUAAAAAUAGAUUUAAAAAAAAAAAAAUUACAAAGGGGGUUAAUUUUUUUUGGUCAUUUCAAAA